GCUGGGUUAGCUUACUCGGUUAAGGCGCUGCAUUUGUGGAGCAGUAGUGACUACCACGGCGCGGGUUCGACCCCCGAUCGUAUCA